rnacentral:lncRNA from 1 species
AAUAAGUAUGAUAGAAAGCUUGGUAGAGAUACCUUUAAUGGUGGAUCUAAACUGUCACGACCCUAAAACUGACCCGAUCGUGAUGGCGCCUAACGUGAAAUUAGGCCAGCCGACACAAACCCCAAAACCAACCAGAAAUUCGUAAUAAGUCAUUUUAAGCUAUAAAUUAACUAUAAUCCCAUAAUGUAAGUUAAAAUAAGCAGUGCGAAAAUAUAACACAAGCCCGACAACGGGGUGUCACCAAUCAUGAGCAACUACAACUCAUCUAGGAACAAGAAAGGACAACAUAGUUCGAAAAUAAAAUACUAAGACAAUCUAAAUAAGACAGGAAGGAGAAGCACUGGGCUGCGAACGCCAAACAGCUACCUAGUCAACUCCGGAGACCUGUUGGAAGACUGAUCAGCACUCACUAUCGCGCCCCGAGACUCCUGGAUCGGCACAUAAGGUGCAGGGAGUAAUGUGAGUACGCCAACUCAGUAAGUAAUAAAAGUAAAAGCAACUGAGCAGUAAGAAAAUAAGAAAUUUCACGUCAUAGCACUACAACAAAACAAUAUAUGUGUAGAACAAUAUAGUAAAUCAAUAAAACUCGUAAAAACAACUCUAUUCAGUAAAACCUUUUUAAAACAUCUUUCAAUAGUUUCAAACGAGUGAUGAAAACAGUGAGUAAAAGGAUAGAAACAUAAACAACCCCUCGAGCAAAACAUGUACCACAACCGCUCCUCGGGCUAUCUCACAAUCACUCGUAAUCAUCCUCUCGGGCAACAACAUGAAACAACAACAGCCCCUUGGGCAAUAUCACAUCUCUCACACUGGUACCCGCGCUCACUGGGUACCCGCGCUCACUGGGGUGUUUAGACUCCGGAAGGGCUCCUACAACCCAAGCGUUAUCACAAGUCAUCUCGUGGCAUAACAAAUCAGGCCUUCGGCCUUUCAUAUAUCACAAAUCCGUACAACAUGCUGCGGCAUACAACCCGAUCCCAUAAUAUUCUCACAACACAGGCCCUCAGCCUCACUUAGUCAGAAAUCUCUCAAGCCCCCAUCGGGCAACAAUAAAACAUGAUGCUCAGCCCAAAAUAUCAUUAAAAAUAUCAAAACGGAGUAAAUACGGCUGAGUUAUGAAAACAGUAGGAUACAACAUGACUGAGUACAGAUAUUAAGUCAAAACAGUAAGGAAUAGCAGUAAAAAAAAAGCCCCUAAGGGUCCAAAACAGUUGGCACGAGGCCCAAAUAUGGCUUUCAGCCCAAAACGUGGUAAUACUUUCCAAAACACGAUGAUAUCAAACAGUUUUCAAUCAAAUACGCGACUUAACAAUCGUACGGGACGGACCAAGUCACAAUCCCCAACGGUGCACGACCCCACGCUCGUCAUCUAGCAUGUGCGUCACCUCAAAGUAACACAACGAUGUGAAAUCCGGGGUUUCAUACCCUCAGGACAACAUUUACAAUCAUUACUUACCUCAAUCCAGCCCAAACUCUAGCCCGUGAUGCCUUUUCCCCUCGAACCGGCCUCUAAAUGCUCCAUAUCUAACCAAAAUCAGUAUCAUACCAUUAAUAAGUGCUAAAGGAACCAAGCCUAAGCGAAAAUAAUCAAAUUAACUCAAAAAUUCCGAAAUUGGCCAAACCUGACCCCCGGGCCCACAUCUCGAAUUUCGAUAAAAAUCACAUCACUAAAAUCCUUAUCUUCCCACGAGUCCAUACAUACCAAGAACAUUAAAAUCGGACCUCAAGUGGUCCCUCAAAUCCCUAAUUUAUACUCUCUAAUUUCAAACUCUAAUUCCCCAAUUUUAGGCUUUAAAUCUCACUAAUUUCAUGUCUAAUUAGGUAAAAAUCACCAUAGAAUCGAGUAUUGAGUUCAAAAAUCUUACCUCCACGUGUUUCCCUUCGAUUCCCUCUUCAAUACCUCUCAAAAAGCUUCAAAAUCGCCCAACAAUGGUGGAAAAUAGACUAAAAUCCCAAAGGCAACUAUUUAAACAUUCUGCCCUGGGAUUAAUUCCUUCUUCGCGAACGUGGUAGCUCCCUCGCAUUCGCGAAGCACAAAAUUCCACUGACCAAAUAUUCCUUCUUCGCGAAUGCGACAUCCUCCACGCGAACACGAAGCUUCAACUGUCCAAGCCUUCGCGAACGCGACCUUACCUACGCGAACGCGAUGCACAAAACUCCUAGGGUCCCAGCUGCUCCAAUUACCUUACGCGAACGUGACUCCUCUCACGCGUUCGCGAUUCACUGGAAUCCAAACCUACGCGAAUGCAACUCAGGCUCGCGAACACGAAGAACAUUUUCUCCUCUAGGCCCAGCUCUUCUUCGCGAACGCAGGACUAUCUUCGCGAACGCGAAGAACAAUUUCUUCUGCAACAAAAACCAGAAAAUCUGCAAAUCUCCAAAACCAAGAAUUGGUCCGUUAACCACCUGAAACUCACCUGAGGCACUCAGGACCUCAACCAAACAUGCCAACACAUCCCAUAAUAUCAUUCAAACUUAUUCCAACCUUCGGAAUGCUCAAAACAAUAUCAAAACAUCAAAUCACCCUCAGAUUCAAGCCUAAGAAUUCCAAAAACUUCCAAAUUCCGUUUUUGAUCAAAAAGUCUAUCAAACCUCGUCCAAAUGACCUGAAAUUUUGCACACACGUCCCAAAUGAUACAACGGACCUACUCCAAUUUCCGGAAUUCCAUUCCGACCCUUAUAUCAAAAUCUCCACUACCAACCAGAAAACGCCAAAAUUCCAAUUUCGCCAAUUCAAGCUUAAAUCUAUCCUGGACCUCCAAAAUACUUUCCGAUCACGCUUCUAAGUCCUAAAUCACCUCACAAAGCUAUCCGAACCAUAAAAAUUAAGUUCUGGGAUCAUUUACUCACAAGUCAACUUUCGGUUGACUUUUCCAACUAAAAGGCCAACUUAAGAGAUUAAGUGUCUCAUUUCUCUACAAAACCACUUCGAACCCAAACUAACCAACACGAUGCAAUGAAAUACAGCUGAACAACACAUAAAGAAGCAAAAAUGGAGAAAACGAAGCGGUAACUCAUGAGACGACCGGCCGGGGCGUUACAUCAACACUGAGAAGAAGGUAGGACUACAGUUUGCAAGGAUAAUAGUAGAGAUGGAGUUGGAUGCUCAACUACCUGAUACGCUGUUAUUUAGAAAUGAGAAAGGUCAGCUCAUUGAACAAAGAGUGAGCUAUAAUUGGAAACCAACUAUGUGUACCUAUUGCCAUGCCUAUGGGCACGUAGAGGAGGUAUGUAAGAAGAAGAAUAAGCCAGUUGUGCAACAGGAUAGGGCAGUGUCAACAACAGAGUUAGUGCAAAAGAAGUAGUAGGAUAAUGAAGCAGGGGAGAUAAAAAAGGGUAAGGAACAGACAGAAGUGCUUCAGAAACAAGCAUCAACUAGUUAUGAAUGGAUCACUCCUCUAAGAACUGGAAGAGGCCCACCUAAACAGAUUUGACAAAUUGAAAAGUCCAACUCUUAUCAAAUUUUGGAUAAGCCUGCAAAUGUCAGCCUUGUACAAACUGCUAUCAAAAGUGUCAGUGGGAGAAAGGGGGAGGAGGAACCAUGCCCUAUACUAGGAAUGGUUAACUUAUUGUGUUGGAAUGUUAGGGGCUUGAAUGCCCCAAAUAAGCAGAAGGAAGUUAAAAUCCUUUGCACUGAAGCUAAGGCUGGUAUAGUAGGUUUGUUAGAAUAAAAAUAAAGAAGAAUAAGAUUGAACAAAUUGAUGGUAGUUUGUUUAGAGGUUGGCAUUAUAUUAUCAAUCUUGAAGCACACUAUAAUGGUAGAAUUUGGUUGACAUGGAGACAUGAUUACUAUGAUGUAGUUCCUACAAAUAUUACUGCCCAAAAUGUGACUUGUGAGGUGACUUACAUUCCACUACAACUGACUUUUCUGCUCACAGUGGUAUAUGCCUUCAAUACAAAGAAGAAAGAAGAGAGUUAUGGGAUAGUAUUAUGUAACAACAUGGAGUUUGUUCUAGACCUUGGCUCAUAUUAGGAGAUUUUAAUGCAGUAUUAACAUAGGAGGAUAGAAUAUGAGGUAAUCAAGUCACUUGGGCAGAAGUGAUGGAGUUCAGGAAUUGUGUGGAUUAUUAUGGUUUGAUUGAGCUUCCUCAACAGGGCAACAGAUACACUUGGAAUGAUAAAAACUCUAAAUAGAGAAUAUUUUUCAAGAUUGAUUGGGCUUUCAUCAAUGACAAAUGGCUUGAUAUAAUGUCAGCUUGUCAAUAUAAGUUUCUACUUGAAGGAAUAAGUGAUCACUGCCCUAUGCAGUUAACUUUAGAAGGGAUUAAGAAAAGAAGGAAGAAAUGUUUUCAGCACUACAAUGUAUAGGAUCAGCAUCAUUUGUUUGACAUCACUGUCAAGGCUGGGUAGGAGGUGCAGAUUGAAGGGUGCAAAAUGUUGAGAGUUGAAAGAAGAUUGAAGCUGUUAAAGAAAGGACUGAAGCAACUAAAUUCAAAGUACUUCAAGGACUUAGUAAAUGAAGUAGAAGAGAUUAGGGAGGAACUCAGGAGGAUACAGGAGAAGCUACAAGCAAAUCCACUGGAUAAGGGCAUGCAGCAGAAGGAAAGAGAGGUGUAUCUACAGUUUAGAAAGAUUUCACAUAUGGCAGAAAUCUACUUACAACAGAAAAGCAAAGCUACUUGGCUAAGAUUGGGAGAUGACAAUACAAGGUAGUUCCAUGCUGUGAUUAAAUACAGGAGAAUGAAAUUAGCUACAACACAGAUAAGGGAUGAACAAGGCAAUUGGCAGAAUGAUCCAGAUGACAUAGCUUAGGUAUUUGUAGACUAUUAUGAGAACUUACUGGGAAAGACCACAAAUGCUAGAGUUAGAACUUUCAGCAACUUUAUGAAAAGAGGGCCAGUGCUACCCUUAGAGCAAUAAGUAAGCUUAAUCAGACCUUAUUCCGGGAAAGAAGUCAAAGAAGCAAUGUUUCAACUUUGACAAAAAUAAGAGUCGUAGACCAGAUGGCUUUGGUAGUAGGUUCUAUAGAUCAGCAUGAGGAAUUGUAGGAGCAGACAUCACUGAAGCUGUCCUAGAGUUCUUUGAGAAUGGUCAAUUCCUGAAACAACUAAACACAACCAACAUUGCACUGAUUCCUAAGGUGGAUAGGCCUGAGUAUGCUAGCCAUUACAGACCUAUUUCUUGUUGCUAUGUCUUGUACAAGUGUAUAUCUAAGAUGGUAUGCAACAGAUUGAAGCAGACCAUAAGCCACAUUGUGGCUGACAAUCAAGCAGCAUUUGUUCAGGGUAGAUCCAUGAUAUAUAAUGAGCUAACAUUCCAUGAUCUAUUGAGGCAUUACAGUAGAAAGACUUCUGCAAGGUGUCUUAUGAAAAUUUAUCUAAGGCAGGCUUAUGAUAUGGUGGACUGGGGAUUUUUUGAGGAAGUUCUGAUUUGGUUUGGGUUCCCAUAGAGAUUCAUUCACUUGAUUAUGGUAUGUGUAACAACUACCAAAUUCUCUAUCAAAGUAAAUGGUGAAGGACAUGGUUAUUUUGAGGGGAGAAGGGGACUAAGGCAGGGAGAUCCUAUGUCUCCUCUACUAUUUGUGAUAGUAAUGGAAUACAUGUCUAGAGUUCUAUCAACUAUGAGUGAACUCCUAGAUUUUCAAUUUCAUCCCAUGUGCAAACAGUUGAAGCUAACACAUUUGAUCUUUGCAAAUGAUAUCAUGAGCUUCUGCAAAGGUAAUCUGGCAUCAGUUACUAGGGUGGUUGAAGCUUUAAAUCAUUGUAGUGAGGCAUCAGGACUUAUUGCUAAUCAGGAUAAAUCUUAUAUCUUCAUUGCUGGGUGGAUGAAUUGACAAAGGAGUAGUUGAUAGCAAAAACAGCAUUCGCCCAAGGUUAUUUAACAAUUAAAUAUCUUGGUUUUCUCCUUUCAUCAAAGAAAUGGAACAAAUUGGACUGCAUUCAGCUAGUAGACAUAAUAACCAAGAGGAUAAAACUUGGCUACUCAAAGCAACUUUUAUAUGCAGGCAGACUGCAGGUGGUUAACUCUAUGUUAUUUUCCAUUUAUAACUUCUGGAGUGCAGUAUUCAUUUUGCCUCAAACAGUGUGGAUAGAAUAUAUAGGUAUUACCUAUGGGGGAAUACUGAAGACAGAAAAAAGCUGGCACUGGUGGCAUGGGAAAGAAUAUAUUUUCCUAAUAGGUUUGGAGGGUUGAAUGUUAAAGGUAGUAAACUAUGGAAUGUGGCCUAUGUUGAGAAAUUAUUAUGGCAACUUCUCAAUAACAAGGAAGCUCUAUGGGUGAAGUGGGUGCAUAUAUGAAAACUGAUACCAAUAACUGGACCCAUAAAAUCCCGUUCGGCUGUAAUUGGUAUUGAAGAAAAUUAACUCUCCGAAGGAGGACAUGCAUGAGUGGUUUAUACAAGGUGCACUCUGAGUAGGGGUGGUGGCUAUUCCAUAACGAGGAGCUACAUUGCCUUAUUAGGGGGAAUACAAGGACUGCAUAUAGCAGAUUUGAUAUGGACAGGUAGCACAACCAAAACACAGGUUGUCACGACCCAUUUUCUGAACAAGCCGAGACCGGCACUCGAUCACUAAACAUGACCGAGCGAACCAUCUUUACUUAUCAACCCUAUUAUAACUCCAAACUUUAUAUGCAACAAAGCAAUACUCUAAACAAAUACUUUUGAUCAAUUCAAAUAUUUAAAUAAAUCAACUCGAAAGCUUUAUUCGUAGUAACUACUGAAUUACUGCUAAGUUAUUAUAAAAUAACACCUGAAUCUCAACCCAAUGACUAUGUCUAUGAAGCCUCUACUGAUAAACUGACGCACUGCUCAGGACAUGAGAUUUUCUGGCCAAUUCUCUAAUUAAACAAAAAAAUAGCUAAAUGAAAAUGACUCUAAGAAUACUCCACGAACAAAAGCGGAGCUCACCAAUAUCACUGGAAGGGAAGGAAAUCCUAACUCGUAGCCUGCUCGCCUGCAAAUCCGGUUCCUACGUUGUACCGCAGACCAACGUAGGUUCCCAAAAGAGAACGUCAGUACCAUCCACUGUACUCAGUGAGUCUCAACAACAGGGGGAGAAACCUUUAAUAACAUAUACAUUACGAGCAAAGGUUCUAAAUGCAUGUAAAACAUAAAGCUUAUAAGAAUAAUUCUAAAAUAAUUGCAUAAUAGCAAUUUAUGAAUAUUCUAAAAGAAAUUCUCUUUUUUUUCUUUCUUUAAAAAAAAUACUUCAUUUUAUACUUUGGGAGUUCCAACUAUCCUGACUUAAUUCUGUCUCAGUCACCGUGUGAUCAGCACGGGUUCGAUCCCAACCUGAUCGAAUAGGCCCAAUCCACGAGGUGUGACUCGCUUCAUGGUUCUCAGCACUCAUGUAUCAUACCUUAGCAUGGCUAAGUAAAUUCUCAGCAAUGAGACCCUCAGCUCGUAUGCUCCCUACUUUGGCACAAGUAGUCUCAGGAAGUCAACGCUUUGGUCAGGACCCUCGGCCUGGACGAUGACCCCUUCUCAGAAUAAAGGAUACUCCCCAAAAAUCUUUUCUUUCUAAAACUUCUUCUUGUGACUUUUCAAGUCUAAAUCUUUUCUUUAUAGAACAUUAUGUACGUGCUCAUAUUGGUGUCCUUAAACGUAAAGCAUGACAUAAGAAUGAAAUAAACAUAUAAAAAUAUUUCCAAAGAUUCUCUCUUCUUCAUAAUUUUCAACAUGAAAAUAGAAUAUAAGAACAACACAAAAAUCUGAAAAUUUAAGCACAUAUAGCAUAAUAGAUCAUCUAAACUUUUGCUAAAACAAUUCUAAAUUAAUGGGUACUCACUCGCUCUAAUUAAAUAAAGAUAAACUCUUUUAAGUAAUUCAUCAAACACCUUGUAUGCGUGCUUUUGUGAGUUAAACCACUUUAGUAAAGGGUUAUAUCAACUCACCUCAAAAUUUCUCGAACCAAUACGUAGGUCCCAGUCCAAUUGAUACCAGUCAAAUAAUCGAUUCUACAACAACCAGUGUAUUUUAAUCAGUUUUAAAGUACUACACCUAAAUAUGAAAUUUAUUGAUGAUAUAGAGGAAGAAGGGAAUUAACUACUCAAUUCUUAGCUAAUACUACUGUAGGGUACUUGACAAUAAGGAAUUUUAUAUACCUGAGUUCAAGGAUUAGUGGUUUGUAAGGAACCCUUGAAUUUUCUAUUUCUCUGCUGCGUUUGCUGCGUUUGCUGCGUUAAAAAGCAGCGUUCUGUUUUUUGUUUUUUUAGAAAAAGUGUUCUGUUUCUCUUUUGCUAUAAGACUUUGUUUAAGUCUUAUAUUUCACAACCCUUUUGGGCUAGG